GCCCGCUUGGCUUAGGGGUACAGCGUCGCACUCGUAAUGCGAAGAUCCGCGGUUCGAUUCCGCGAGUGGGCA